GCGCCUUCCUGCCAGUGCGCGCCCGGCCAGCCUCACACGCCACCACACUGCCCACCCCGCGGGCUCACCCUCCAGCGCCACCCCCCCGGCGGAGCAAGCCCCAGUUCAGCUAAAAGCAAAUAUAAUAAAGCGGACUGUAGUAACGUAGUUUAAAAUUGAUUCACAAUUGUAGACUGGGUGGCUCAGUUGUUAAGCGUCUGCCUUCGGUCCAGGUCAUGAUCCCAAGGUCCUGUGAUCGAGCCCCGCAUCGGGCUCCCUGCUCAGCGGGAGGCCUGCUUCUCCCUCUCCCACUCCCCCCUGCUUGUGUUCCCUCUCUCUCUGUGUCUCUCUCUGUCAAAUAAAAUAUUUAAAAAAAAAUAAAA